rnacentral:rRNA from 1 species
UGCAAGUCGAGCGGAAAGGCCCUUCGGGGUACUCGAGCGGCGAACGGGUGAGUAACACGUGAGUAACCUGCCCCAGGCUUUGGGAUAACCCCGGGAAACCGGGGCUAAUACCGGAUAUGACCAUCUGUCGCAUGGUGGGUGGUGGAAAGAUUUUUUGGCUUGGGAUGGGCUCGCGGCCUAUCAGCUUGUUGGUGGGGUGAUGGCCUACCAAGGCGGCGACGGGUAGCCGGCCUGAGAGGGCGACCGGCCACACUGGGACUGAGACACGGCCCAGACUCCUACGGGAGGCAGCAGUGGGGAAUCUUGCACAAUGGGCGGAAGCCUGAUGCAGCGACGCCGCGUGAGGGAUGACGGCCUUCGGGUUGUAAACCUCUUUCAGCAGGGACGAAGCGUUUGUGACGGUACCUGCAGAAGAAGCGCCGGCCAACUACGUGCCAGCAGCCGCGGUAAGACGUAGGGCGCAAGCGUUGUCCGGAUUUAUUGGGCGUAAAGAGCUCGUAGGCGGCUUGUCGCGUCGACUGUGAAAACCCGUGGCUCAACUGCGGGCUUGCAGUCGAUACGGGCAGGCUAGAGUUCGGUAGGGGAGACUGGAAUUCCUGGUGUAGCGGUGAAAUGCGCAGAUAUCAGGAGGAACACCGGUGGCGAAGGCGGGUCUCUGGGCCGAUACUGACGCUGAGGAGCGAAAGCGUGGGGAGCGAACAGGAUUAGAUACCCUGGUAGUCCACGCUGUAAACGUUGGGCGCUAGGUGUGGGGGGCCUCUCCGGUUCUCUGUGCCGCAGCUAACGCAUUAAGCG